GCGGCUGUAGCUCAGCGGACAGAGCACUGGUCUUCGGAACCAGGUGGCGGGGGUUCGAAUCCCUCCAGCCGCGCCA
rnacentral:tRNA from 1 species